rnacentral:rRNA from 1 species
UAAAGUGGCGCACGGGUGAGUAACACGUGAAUGAUCUACCUCCGAGUGGGGAAUAACCUAGAGAAAUCUGGGCUAAUACCGCAUAACACUUACGAGUCAAAGCAGCAAUGCGCUUGGAGAGGAGUUCGCGGCCGAUUAGUUAGUUGGCGGGGUAAUGGCCCACCAAGACGAUGAUCGGUAUCCGGCCUGAGAGGGCGCACGGACACACUGGAACUGAAACACGGUCCAG